GCAGUCGAACGAUGAACCACUUCGGUGGGGAUUAGUGGCGAACGGGUGAGUAACACGUGGGCAAUCUGCCCUGCACUCUGGGACAAGCCCUGGAAACGGGGUCUAAUACCGGAUACUGACCUUCACGGGCAUCUGUGAGGGUCGAAAGCUCCGGCGGUGCAGGAUGAGCCCGCGGCCUAUCAGCUAGUUGGUGAGGUAAUGGCUCACCAAGGCGACGACGGGUAGCCGGCCUGAGAGGGCGACCGGCCACACUGGGACUGAGACACGGCCCAGACUCCUACGGGAGGCAGCAGUGGGGAAUAUUGCACAAUGGGCGAAAGCCUGAUGCAGCGACGCCGCGUGAGGGAUGACGGCCUUCGGGUUGUAAACCUCUUUCAGCAGGGAAGAAGCGAAAGUGACGGUACCUGCAGAAGAAGCGCCGGCUAACUACGUGCCAGCAGCCGCGGUAAUACGUAGGGCGCGAGCGUUGUCCGGAAUUAUUGGGCGUAAAGAGCUCGUAGGCGGCUUGUCACGUCGGUUGUGAAAGCCCGGGGCUUAACCCCGGGUCUGCAGUCGAUACGGGCAGGCUAGAGUUCGGUAGGGGAGAUCGGAAUUCCUGGUGUAGCGGUGAAAUGCGCAGAUAUCAGGAGGAACACCGGUGGCGAAGGCGGAUCUCUGGGCCGAUACUGACGCUGAGGAGCGAAAGCGUGGGGAGCGAACAGGAUUAGAUACCCUGGUAGUCCACGCCGUAAACGGUGGGCACUAGGUGUGGGCGACAUUCCACGUCGUCCGUGCCGCAG
rnacentral:rRNA from 1 species